rnacentral:rRNA from 1 species
GGCUACUGCUAUCGGGGUCCGACUAAGCCAUGCGAGUUGAGAGGGGUAAGCCCUCGGCGAAUUGCUCAGUAACACGCGGACAACCUGCCCUUGGGUCCGGGAUAACCCCGGGAAACUGGGACNAAUACCGGAUAGAUCAAGGAUACUGGAAUGUUCCCUGGUCUAAAACUCCGGUGCCCAAGGAUGGGUCUGCGGCCUAUCAGGUAGUAGUGGGUGUAACGUACCUACUAGCCUACGACGGGUAAGGGUUGUGAGAGCAAGAGCCCUGAGAUGGAUUCUGAGACAUGAAUCCAGGCUCUACGGGGUGCAGCAGGCGCGAAAACUUUACACUGCGGGAAACCGCGAUAANGGGGACCCCGAGUGCCAGCACCUAGUGCUGGCUGUCCCGCUGUCUAAACAACAGUGGUUAGCAAGGGCCGGGCAAGACCGGUGCCAGCCGCCGCGGUAACACCGGCGGCCCGAGUGGUAGCCGUUAUUAUUGGGUUUAAAGGGUCCGUAGCCGGCCUGUUAAGUCUCUUGGGAAAUCUGGCGACUUAAUCGUCAGGCGUCCAAGAGAUACUGACAGGCUUGGGACCGGGAGAGGUGGGAGGUACUCCAGGGGUAGGGGUGAAAUCUCGUAAUCCUUGGGGGACCACCGAUGGCGAAGGCAUCCCACCAGAACGGGUCCGACGGUGAGGGACGAAAGCUGGGGGCACGAACCGGAUUAGAUACCCCGGUAGUCCUAGCCCUAAACGAUGUGGGCUGUGUGUCGGUCUCGACGCGAUCGAGACCGGUGCCGUAGGGAAGCUGUUAAGCCCACCACCUGGGGAGUACGGUCGCAAGGCUGAAACUUAAAGGAAUUGGCGGGGGAGCACCACAACGGGGAGCCUGCGGUU